UGGGCGACAACUCGGGAUGGGCCUCAUUUCCAUUCUACAGAAUGUGGACGCGUCAGAGAAGUAGAGAAACGCAGGAGGCUGGGAGCGGAGACCUGCAGGCUUUACCCAACAGCGUGGGGUCCGUCCCCUCCGCAAGCGAACACGCGGAGCCGCUCCCGCAGGCCCUCAAAGGUGCGGAGCGUCCGCCUCCCGAGAGCCAGGGCCCCCUGCCUGGAAGGCUGCUCUCGCACCCGGCAGGCGCCUCGGAAGGGCGGUUACCAGGCCCCCAUGGGCAGCCUGCGGUGCUGAGCCCCCCUCCCCAUACCAUCCCUUCACUCGGGGUUUCCCAGGUAUUGUCUCAUGCAGCUCCUAGCUCUGAGGCCGCCCCCUUUUACCAAGAGCAAAACUCAGGCUGUGGGACUCUUUCCAGGAUGGAGUCUGCCCCAGGCACAGGCAGCAGCGCGAUGUGCGGACCACACCCGCGGCCUCGAGGCUUCCUGCUCCGCUCCAGGGCAGUCAGGCGUGCAGGCACCAGGCACCUGAGCUCAGUCAACACCCUCGGGAUCCUGUCCCUCCUGAGAUGUGACAGAAAUGGCCCCACACACGAGUGGCCUGAUGCUCGGAGGCCCUGUGGCCCCUGGGUGACUCAGUGAGCGGCAGGGACAGGGCUGGAUCCACAGCUCCGCCCCAAGCUUCCUGCCACCGUGGGAACCACAAGCUCCACGUCUCCCUGUCAGCAAGGCUCGGGCAGGACAGGCUGGUGCCCGCGCUGGGGAUGCCUGAACACCAGAUGGACUGGCCUCAGCCCACGGUGGGCAGCAGGCUGGGCACGGGCAUCAACAUGGCAAUGCCAACCUUGGAGGGUGUUACGGAGGAUGGGCAGGGGCUGGCCUACCUCGUGGCUGCCUGUGAGAUAAGAAGGUAGGUCACAGUCAGGGACCAGGGGCCUGCAACACCCACUCGCAGAGGGCAAGCCCUGGAGCCUUCUGAGCUGCCAGAGGGGUGGGCCUUCCCCACAGGGUUUAAACCCUUGUGAACUUUUAAAUGCGGAAACCCAAAGAAGGCACCCAUCCAGCGUCUGGUUGGCAGUGGUGAGCCAUGAGCGUCUGCUCCCUCCCUGGGUCCCACAGUAGGCAGGAGGGAAUUCAGGGUAAAGGGAGCUCUUCUCUUCCCCGGAGCCCCCAAAUACACCCCAACUGCCUGAAAGUCCAGUAACAUUUGUUCAUUCAAGUUUCCCUUAGUCUGUUGGGAGGGCAGUGACCCCAGAAGAUGGGCACAGGUCAUGGGGUGCAGAGAAACUGGUAAGCAGUGGUGGCACUGGGGGGCAGAAGAGGCCAGGACUCUGGGGGUCCCGGGGCAGAUGUGGCCACCGUGAGGGUGGCCAGGGCGGGCCACCGUGAAUCCUUAGGAGGGCUGGCUCCACCACCGACUGGCCCAGUGAACACAGCAAUGGCUUAUCGGAGCACACAGGCCAAGGGUGGGCAGGGGUACAGCAGGGCAGGCAGGGGACAGGAGCCAUCAGGAGGCCCAGGUGAGGCUCUUAGGAAGGAGGGCUGAACAUGGGGGCCACAGGGUAGGCCCAGCUCUCGCUGUCCCGGCCCCUCCCCUUCUAGAAGCCGCGCUCAGUCUGUGCUGGAGGUUUCCAGGUUAUGUCACAGUGCUGGGUCCCACUGGAGGGACGUGAGGCUCUGCCCCAGCUUCCAGGCCCCAGGCUGAGCAUGCUGGCAGGAGCGAGGUACCUGAGUGUGAUCACCUCCAGGCUGGGCAUCUCCCGGCAAAUGGAGAUCUAGGAGGAAAAGAGCAUGACUAGCAAGCACGGCACAGCAGGGCAUCGCGGCCGCACUGCCAUCAGCCACAGAGAACUGUCGAAGCCACGGCCAACCCACUUCUGGGGCCUGAGGGGCACGGCCCUGCUCAGCCAGUGUGCCCAGGGUGAAUGCCCACGAGCAUGCCAGGCUCCCCUCUGACGCCACCUUGCAGCCCAGACGCCCCGCAGACUGAAGGAGAAAUGUGAGGCUCCUCCUUGCGCGCACUCUCUCUUUAUUAAAUUUUACAGCAGCAUCGUUGCUGUCAGAUGCUGCCAGCAGUGGAGACAGAGCAUUCAUUACUUUGGAUGCCCUCAAAGGACAUCAGGGAUGUUGACGGGAACUGCAAAAUAAGCCUGGCACUAGAGAAUUGUUUUUCCAUUAGUGGUUCUGCUGAAUGAAAACUGCUAAGUGAACGAAGUACCAAGUGUGGGACUGAACUGAUAGGUGCAGUUUUGUCAACUUAAAAAUUCUCUUGGGAAAGAAGCUACAACAUUUGGGAUUGAGGCUAUUUGGAGAUGAUCAGCACAAUAUUUACAUCUGUGAGGCAAUACUUACAUCUGUGAGGCGGCUGCCCCUAGGGAGAGAAAAGAUACAUACUUUAAUUUUGUUAAAGUUGAAUAAAAAAUACUGAAGACAAAAAUUCCAAAAAUUACCGAUGACUACCUACAAACCUUAAGAUUCUAGGAUUUUAGGCCGGGCGCGGUGGCUCAAGCCUGUAAUCCCAGCACUUUGGGAGGCCGAGGCGGGCGGAUCACAAGGUCAGGAGAUCGAGACCAUCCUGACUAACACGGUGAAACCCCGUCUCUACUAAAAAUACAAAAAAUUAGCCGGGCGUGUUGGCGGGCGCUUGUAGUCCCAGCUACUCGGGAGGCUGAGGCAGGAGAAUGGCGUGAACCCGGGAGGCGGAGCUUGCAGUGAGCCGAGAUCGCACCACUGCACUCCAGCCUGG